rnacentral:rRNA from 1 species
GACGUAGGAGGCGAGCGUUAUCCGGAUUCACUGGGCGUAAAGCGCAUGUAGGCGGAUGUCUAAGUCGUGUGUUAAAGCCCCUGGCUCAACUGGGGGAGGUCAUGCGAGACUGGAUGACUUGAGGGCAACAGAGGCACGUGGAACUCCCGGUGUAGCGGUGGAAUGCGUAGAGAUCGGGAAGAACACCCGUGGCGAAGGCGGCGUGCUGGGUUGCAACUGACGCUGAGAUGCGAAAGUGUGGGAGCAAGCGGG